GGCGCUGUAGCUCAGUUGGCUAGAGCAAUCGGUUCAUACCCGAUAGGUCGUGAGUUCGAAUCUCUCCGGCGCUACCA
rnacentral:tRNA from 1 species